rnacentral:rRNA from 1 species
GAUGAACGCUGGCGGCGUGCCUAAUACAUGCAAGUCGAACGCAUAGCGAAAGGUGCUUGCACCUUUCAAGUGAGUGGCGAACGGGUGAGUAACACGUGGACAACCUGCCUCAAGGCUGGGGAUAACAUUUGGAAACAGAUGCUAAUACCGAAUAAAACUUAGUGUCGCAUGACACAAAGUUAUAAGGCGCUUCGGCGUCACCUAGAGAUGGAUCCGCGGUGCAUUAGUUAGUUGGUGGGGUAAAGGCCUACCAAGACAAUGAUGCGUAGCCGAGUUGAGGUAAUGACCGGAUACAUUAGGUCUGAGACAGGGCCAAAAGAACUACAGGAGGCUGCAAUAGGGAGCCUUCCGGAAGGGGAGAGAGCAUGAUGGAGGGACGCCGCGUGUAUGAUGAAGGCUUUGGGGUCGUAAAGCACUGGAUUAUGGGAAGAAGGGUUAGAAGAGGAAACGAUGUUAGUUGGACGGGAGCAUAGCAGAAAGGGGCGGCUGAAUGCGG